ACAGUUUGCUCAUGACACUGCAGUUGCACACUCACAUUGGCUUGGUUAAAAAGUUAAUAUUUGAGAAUUUGAGAACAAGAAUUUGCCUCUUCCAAGGACGUACCAUUGAACAGUCAUUCCCUCUAUACAAAAAAUCACAAACGGUUUCGUCAGACUUUGAGUGCAGUGCGAUGGCUAUUCAUUCAAGAAUCAAGGAGGAAUUCAGCCCAUAGUCAACAAGACAGAUUUCUGUGAUUUUUUUUUUUUUUGGAAGAAGGCAGGACAAGUUGACCCUGCUGUUCUAGACUGAAGGUGUUGUCAUUGGGCUUGUCAUUAGUGUUGCACCAGGGAUCCCUUCACCCCUUUUCCCAUCCUGCUUUAUUCCCCUUAUUAGCAGUGAGCCUGACCAUCUGCACCGAUCUCCCCAAUGAAAGGACGGGCAUAUGGCGCACAGAACUGGCACGAGGUGCAUUAUCAUAUCAAACUCACUCUCUCUGCUCCAGGGAAUCGGCCACGCACCCACUGCUUCUUAAACGGACUCCAUUACAUCGAUCAAACACCUUGACGGCACCUCGCACUCGCUCUCUCUCCUGUCUGCGAGAGGAAUGUGUGCUUUCAUAAAUAUUUGACUGCCUCUCCUUGUUUGAGUCUUUCAUCUCUCGCUUCUUUCUGGCCAUUGAGCACAAUCGGCACAGGAUCUAAAGCCUGAGCUGGCAAACAGUGGCCACUGAUGGGAAGACUUGUUUUCUUUCACAUUCGUGCAUGUGUUUGUUAAAGACGAGACAAAUAAGAUGGUUGAAUUGAAAUCAUUUUCACAUUAAAUAUUGAAAUGGA